CUUUCUCAUUUUCAAAUUCAUCUUUUUAAAAAAAUUGUUUGUUCAGAGGAUUCUAAUUUUUUUAUUUAUUCAAGUUCUGUACUGCCCUUCCAAAAAUGGCUCAGGGCGGUUUACACAGAGAAAUAAUAAAUAAGAUGGAUCUCUGUCCCCAAAGGGCUCACAAUCUAUUUUUUUUAAUUAUCAUUAUUUCUUUAAGUGAAGAGUGUGCAUUAGCGCCGCGUUCAUCUUCAUAAUAGUUUUUUGGACAGACGGAGUAACUUGGCUCUGUACAGCUCAUCACGGUCAAGUAGAUAUAUUUGAAUUUGAACACACACACACACACCCCCUUUCACUCCAAAGUCCAAAUUCGUUACCUGGCUGCCUGACCACAGCGAACAUUAUAGCAUUAUUACAAGGCAGGGCACGUGUGGGCAGAAAAUUGCACCUUGUGCGCAGAUUAACAUGCAGAGGAGCACAGGCAGAAUGUUCACCAGGUGUGGGGUUCUCGAUGUACCAGGGAAUUUUGAUGUGUUGAUACUGCAGCAGACACCAGUCUAGAUUUUUAAAUGGCUUCGCUGAAAUUCCUGUUUCUCGGAACAGCUUCAAUCCUAAUUUUACGGCCUCAGUAAAGGUGCCGCACAUUGAGUCGACACUUUCAACGAGCUGUCAACCACAACCUCAAGAUCCCUCUCCUGGUCCGUCACCGACACAUUGAGUCGACACUUUCAACGAGCUGUCAACCACAACCCCAAGUUCCCUCUCCUGGUCCGUCACCGACAGCUCGGAUCCCAUCAGCAUAUACUUGAAGUUGAGUUUUUCGUCCCAAUGUGUAUCACUUUACACUUGCUAACAUUGAACCGCAUUUGCCAUUUUGUCACCCACUCCCCCAGUUUGGAGAGAUCCUUUUGGAGCUGCUCACAAUCCGUUUUGGAUUUCACUACCCGGAAGAGUUUGGUAUCAUCUGCAAAUUUGGCCACAUCGCUGCUUACCCUUGCUUCUAGAUCAUUUAUGAAUAAAUUAAAAAGCACCGGUCCCAUUACAGAUCCCUGGGGGACCCCACUUCUUACUUCCCUCCACUGUGAAAACUCUCCAUUGAUACCUACCCUCUGUUUCCUGUCUUUCAACCAGUUAGCAAUCCACACAUGUACCUGUUCCCUUAUCCCAUGACCGCUAAAUUUCCUCAGGAGUCUUUGAUGAGGAACUUUGUCAAAAGCUUUUUGGAAGUCCAGGUAGACUAUGUCAACUGGAUCACCUUGAUCCACACACUUGUUGACACUCUCAGAGAAGUCCAAAAGGUUGGUGAGGCAAGAUUUACCUUUGCGGAAGCCAUGCUGGCUCACUCCCAGCAGGGCCUGUUCUUCUAGGUGCUUUACAAUUUUAUCCUUGAGGAUGCUUUCCAUCAAUUUGCCUGGAACGGACGUUAGGCUAACCGGCCUGUAAUUUCCCGGAUCGCCCCUGGAUCCCUUUUUGAAAAUCGGUGUUACAUUUGCUACUCUCCAGUCCUCUGGUACAGAGCCCGAUUUCAGGGAUAAGUUAAAUAUUUUAGUAAGGAGGUCGGCAAUUUCACAUCUGAGUUCUUUGAGGACUCUUGGAUGGAUGCCAUCCGGCCCUGGUGAUUUGUUAGCUUUCAGUUUUUCCAGACAGUUUAGAACAUCAUCCCUUGUCACUAUCUGACGCACUAUCUGACGCAGCUCUCUAGCCUCCAUCCCUAAAAAGCCUGGUUCAGGACAGGUAUAUGCUCAGUAUCCUCUGCCGUGAAGACAGAUGCAAAGAACUCAUUCAGCUUCUCUGCAACCUCCAUAUCCUCCUUAAUAAUCCCUUUCACUUCCUCAUUGUCUAGUGGUCCAACUGCCUUCCUGGCAGGUUUCCUGCUUCUGAUGUACUUAAAGAAUUUUUUGUUAUUCCCCUUGAUACUUUUGGCUAAAUGUUCCUCAAACUCUCUUUUUGCAUCCGUUAUUGUCACCUUGCAUUUCUUUUGCCAGAGUUUGUGUUCCUUUCUGUUCUCUUCGUUUGGACAGGCCUUCCAAUUUCGGAAGGAAGUCUUCUUCCCUUUUAUGGCUUCCUUGACAGUACCAGUUAGCCAUGCUGGCAUCCUCCUGGACUUAGUGGUACCUUUCCUCCUUUUGGGUAUACAAUCUAACUGUUCCUUUUAACCUUAUUAAAAGGAAGAUCCGCACCUCUCUUUGAAAAUCAUGGUCCUAAGGUUUCCAGCAGGGAAAGGGAGAGCUAAGAAUGCAUGUGCUAGAAGCAGAGUCCUUAAACAAAGGACAAUCUCCAUGUACAGAAUCAGACCUUUGCUCCAUCUAGCCUCUUAUCUACUUCCACCCGCAAGAGGUGUUCAAGGGCUCAGGAACAGCCUUUCCAACCUUGCUGCCUUAGAUCCUUAAAUGGAGCUGCUAAGGUAAUGAACCUUAUGCAUGUAAACCAACUGCUCUGUCACUGAGUUAUGGCUGCAGUCUUCUUGACCCCCAGCUUAUGAUGGUGUCCUCCCUUCACUAAUGACAAUUGCCUAUGUAGUCCUAUAAGCCACCUAAUGGUACAGUGGGGAAAUGACUUGGUUAGCAAGCCAGAGGUUCCUGAUUCAAAUCCCUACUGUUACCUAUAUCAGGCAGCAGUGACAUAGGAAAGUGCUGAAAGGCAUCAUCUCAUACUGCACAGGAGAUGGCAAUGGUAAACCCCUCCUGUAUUCUACCAAAGAAAACCACAGGGCUCUGUGGUCACCAGGAGUCGACACCGACUUGACGCAACACACUUUAUGUAGUGCUAUGCCUCCUCUACCAUCUCUUCUCAACAUUUAUCCAAACAACCAUAGUCCACAGCAAUGCUUGGAGUACAAGGGAACAUUUACAACAAGGCUUGACUCCCUCACUUUUAAUCAGUGAAUGCACCUGGAAGAUAGAUGAGCUAAGGCAGAUGGCUUCGUCAGGGGAGUAGGCCUCUUCUGCCCCCUGCCCCUUUGAAUGGGUGCCCAAACCUCCUCAUUCGGAGGCAAAUACUACCACAUCUAGUCCACGGUACAUGAGGAAACAAGCACAGUACUGGGAGAGGGAAACCUUACUGCAGGAAAUAAUUCAACCUUAGAUAGUUAAUGCUACAUUUGCACACUGUUUAGACUCACUGCAUGCUUUUAAUUUUAUUUUCAUUAUUUAUGAAACAAUUUUAGAAUAUUAAACACAUUAAAUGCAUGCUCAGCCUUUUUACAAGUUACUUAAAAUCAGCUAAGCACCAAAAAAAUCCGAAAGAAGGCAUCGGAAAUGUGAACGGCGUCUUGCAGGGAGUGCAGAAGCACACGUAAGGGACCCGUUGUGACACUGAUAGCAUGCAAUCUGGAAAGCGCCCAGGUGGCUCUCAGUGCCAAGUGAAAUCUGUCUUGCACCUAGUAGAGGCUAACCUAAUUACAGCUGCAUAAAACCCUCCAGCAAUCAAGCUAAAGACUAUUGUAAACUGCUUUUUUUGUGUGGAUUUGUGUGUGGUUUUGGGCGGAUGUAUGUGUAGUCCUCCCCACACCCUAACUUAUUUUGCUUAAUAUCCAGUCUGAUAGAGACCUGGAAAUCUUGAACGCUUGUUACCUUUUAUUUGGACCAAUUAUGGGAUCACAAAAUAGGUUACAUCUGCUUUGAUUCCCCCCACCCCACAGACCAACCACCCCCCCACUGCAUGUUCUAUAGAUAUACUGUAUUGUUUUAUACAGUGAAAAUCAUUUUGUAAAUACAUUAAUUGCAGCCCAAAGAUGUCCUAGUAUUUUUUUUGUUUAACAACUUUCUAUGCCAACAUCACAACCUAGCUGCAGAAAUAAAGCAGCAGCAAAGACAAGGAAAAGAAAAGGCAGAUGUACUUUGUAAAACUCUAAAAGCAUUGGAUGGACCCCUAAUAUAAGUUUCAUUAAGGCCCUUUGCCUAUGCCACACUGGUUUAAAUGCUUCUGGAAACAAGAACUUUUAAAAACAGUUUUUUUUACAUUUUUAAAAUAAAGGCUAUAAUCCUCAAAGCAGUUUUACUGACAUUUGAUGGAAACAGAUAACAGGUCAGCCUACCUACUCUGCUGCAGACAGAAAAUGGAUUAUUACAUUCAUUCAACUAUGAAAUUAAAUAUUUAAUAUGUAUCUAAGAGUUUUGCUAAAGUUAAAAUUCAAAUAUUUUAAAUGUUAAAAUAAGUAUAUUAAGUAGCUUUUUACAUUCAUUUGGAUUUAGAUUUUUAAAUACAACAGGAAAAGGGGGGGAAAGGCAAUGAAUGCAACAAUUACUGACAGUGAUGCAGAUGACAAAAGGAUUUUAAUUUGCACAAGUCAAAAUAGUACAUGGGUUCAUUUUUAUAAUAAAUUGAGUCAAUUUUAUGCAAGGCAUAUUCAAAAAUAUAUUGCUAAUAUUAAUGACAAAGGUCAAAACCCCUUUGGUUGUUUUUAAACAUAAAUCACUAUGCAUAUUCUGUAAAACCAUCAGUUAGGAUGAUCAGUUUACAUAUCUUUCAUUCUCGAGCUCAAUUCAGCUUCCAUAUAAACCAUACGAAACAUGCUACUUUCAAAUACUGUGACGAAAACAGCUAUAGGAACAACCCUUUCCUUUCCUACAUGCAGAGUUCUGAGCGUGUAGGAGGAUAGCCACUGUGACAAGAAUCUUCACCCAACACAGUUCUAUCAAAAAAUGGCUCUGAAGGUCUAGAUUGUUCCUAGGUUUUCACAAGACUAUAAACACCUUUAAAAAAUACUUCAAUGUUCUAAGACCAGGCUACUGUACAGUAAUCAUCCUGUGUACAACUUUUACUUUAACUUUUAAGUUAUCCUGUAGGUUUUACAUGAAAACCUAUAAAACAAUUAUCCUGGAAUAAGAAAGUGCUUAAUAGAACCAGUCUCAUGUGGCCAGGAACAAAAAAUAUUUCACCAAUGAAUAUCUUGAGCUGAUUAGAAAUUUUAUAUGCAGUUAUCCUCUUGGCACUUAAUCUAUUUAACUAGGAUAACGUUUCGAAAGACUGAAAUAAAAAAUCAAAUAGAAUUACUAGAAUCCAUAGUGCAUAGUUAAAAAGUCAGUGUACUCACUGGGUUUUCUCCAACAAAGAAUUUUUUUUUACAAUCAGACCACUGAUUGUUCAACAGAGUUUUUAAAAGUAAUUCAAACAUUCCUGAAGCUAAAGAAUGCAGCAUAAAGAAUCUUUAUGAUGUGCAGUCAAACAUAUCACUACCCAAAUUCCUUUGGGCCCAAUAAUUUCAUCACACAGGGAAUUGCUACCAUUAAUUCCAACUUCAAAAUUGGUUUUAAACAUAAAUCCCCAAGAAAUCAAGAAGCAAGUCUAAAAAUAACUGAAUAUGACAAUGGAUGUUUCAAGUAUCAGCAGUGCAUGCAGCUGACUGGAUUAGUUAACAUCUUUCUCUAAUGCAAUAUAAAGUAGGUUUGGAACCAGCACAGGUAUCAUUCUUGGGAAGCAAAUGCCCUUUUGUUUUACAAAAAUAGUUUCUCUCUUAUCAUGCAAUGUAAUGGUACUGAUUUGGAUUUUCUUUGUCUCUCUCCAUAUAGUCUCUAUCUAUGAGAGAUUCGAUUCGCUUUUUCAAGUCUCCAGGCUGUAAAACAAAAAAAAGUUAGUGUUGUAUUUAGUACUGUAAGGCAAUGAGAAGAAAAUACCAUUUUGCAGGUGGGAAAUUUUCACUCACCUUUACUGGAAAUUUCAGUUGAUUAUACAAUUCUGAAACAAGAAGAUUGUGACCAAGUGUUUUCCUCAUCUUCAUUAUUCGUACUAUAGCAGCAUCAAUCUGGUACUGUCUAUCUUGAAACACUCUUUCAGUUGUGCUGACUUGUUCUUCUACCUAAAUAACAAAACAGAAGCAGUGUAAAGAAACAACCCAGAUGCAUGUAUUCAGCAGAGUUGAACCUUGACAAAUUAAGGUUUAUCAGUACAGAAGGCCCUUGAAUAUCACAGGUUCCACCGUCACAAUUUCUUACAGAUGGUCAACCUAUCAGUACCCAGUUUCAAUUAUUGCAGUAUGAGUUUGGGUUAUUUGCAGUUGCUGUGGGCGUGCUUUGCACUUCUGGUUUUCAGCACAUGCACUUCCUCAGCCAGGAGAGUCGAAGGAGCUUGGAAGGCGUUUGUAGCCAUUUUUGGAGGCAGCAGGACAUUGUGGAGGCAAUGUGGAAGGAGUCUGGAACAUUUUGGAGGCAUAUCUGAGGAGCUGGAGUGGCCAAGAGACAGUAUUUUGUCUCUAAUUUUUUUUUGUGGGUGGGGAGGGCUCUGUAUGUGUUGCUCUUCUGUAGUCUUUGCUUUUUGUACAGUACUGUACUGUUCUGUAGUGUUUCUCAUUUCUGGGUGGUUUUUUGGAGAGCAGGGAAGGCUUUGUAUAUGCUGUUCUUCUAAAGUCUUUGUACUGUACUUUCCUGUAGUGUGUCUCUGUGUCUUUCUGUUCUGUUACUGUUGAGUGAAUUUUCUGUGUGUGCUGUAGUUUGUGCUUGGAGGGAGUGUGGAACCAUUUUGGGAGAAGGCAGGACGUGUAUUGGAGUUGGAGAUGCCAGGGUACAGUGUUGUAGUCUGGAUUUUUUGAGGGGAAAGGCUUCUGUACUCUUUUUUGUUUUUACUGUAGAGUAAACUUAAUUUUACCUCUGGUCUGUAAACAGCUGGAUCAAUCUGCUGAACAACUUGUUAAAUUUCUACUCUCUGAUGAGGAUAUUUUAAAUUUUAACUCCGUAGCCAAAUUUUGUUAUAUUACUCUUAAGAUGUAUAAUGAGAACCUAUAGAGUUUCUUAUAAAUUUGUUUUGCCUUUUGUAUGCAUGGAUUGUUUGGUCUAGGACCGUAAAUAAAACUUGACUUGACUACUGUAGAGUAAAAAAAAUUUCUGUAGUGCUGCAGGAUUUGGGCACUGAAUGUAGCAUGGAGGCUUUUUUGGAGAGACAUGCAGUGGAGAUAGGUACAGUGUUGUGCAGUCCUUUUUCAUUUCUGUACUGUCCAUUGGGCUCAGAAAUGUUCUGCAGAGUGAUUGCACAAUUUUUUCCUCCACUCAUGCUUGAGUGGAGUGAUUGCAUUCAUUUUUUCUUCACUUUGCCUAGUCAUACUGGGCAGGUGUAAAGCAGGGGAUGUUGAUGAAGGGAGUGCUAAAAAGGCAGCAGAAAGUAAUGGCCUUGAAUUAAAAAGUGGAGUUGUUGACUAUGUUGGUUCAUGGGGACAGUGCAGAAUCAGUUGGAUGGCAUUAUGGCAUCAAUGAAUCUACUGUGCAGUUCAUCUGCAAAAAUGAAAAUAUUUAUGCUAGUGUGGUGGCAAGCACUUCUGAAAGUGUGAAAGUGGCAUACCAUUCUCGUGAUCCCCUCAUGGAACACAUGUGGAAAGGCCCUAAAUGUUUGGAUCAAGACCAAGCACACAAAAAUAGUGCCACUGAGUGGACCAGUGAUAAGGCAGAAAACAAUGCAGCUCUACAAUAUUUUUUUUUAAAGAAGGUCAAGAAGGUACAUCUGUCAGUGCUGGGCACAGUUUUCAGUUCUGUAGUGACAGUGUAACAGAAGUAAAACAGACUACAGAAAGGAAAUUAAUAAUUCAGGAUUCCUGAAAGCCUUCUUGAAGAUGUCUGUUAAAAUUGCCAAUUAUGCUGCAUGCAUGCUCAAUGAGUGCUUUAAAGAAGUUUAAAAAAACAUUCUGGCCAAAAGCUUACAAUGAAAGAAAACAGGACACAAGAUGAAAGGAAGGAAAGAGAAGAGCAAGUGUAAAGUAAUACCAGCUUAUAAUCAAAGUUAAAUAAGUUGUUCUGCAGGUUUUCUAUGAAGGUGUGUGUACACUUAAGCAAGCAUAUUACCACAUAAAUAAAUAUCUGCCCAGAACAGAGAAUAUGAACAUACACUGGUGUUAAGAGAUUGUGCCAAAACAGCAAUCCAGAGAACACAAGGGCUCACACAGGGUUCCCAGGCAGUCAACCAUACAGGUACUGAGCAAACCUGGACCUGCCAAUACAGCAAGGUGGCUGUAUCAGAUGGCCUCAGUUCAUGCCCUGGAAGAUAGCGAGUCAGUAACCCUUGCUCUAUGUCUUUUCUAGAAUAUUGUCUAGAAGUUCAACCGCCACGCUGUCAGCAAGAGGGACCUCGGAGUGUGGUGGAAGACUUGACCUCCUUCUCUUGUGAGGAGAUCUCAACGAGGUAGAAGGUGACGGGCUGAAUUCCUCUGGCGGCAGGCGGAGAUAUGUUUCGACAAGUUUGCAGUAGGAACUGGCUGUGCAUAGCUCUGGUUAGCUGGCAUCCAUGAUGUCAUCAAGAAACCAGUUCCCAACGACAUUAAAAAAAAGUUUCUGUUUUUAAAUUAAGAUGACGAAUGGAAAAACAGAUAGUAUACAUAUGGUGCUUAAAAUGAGAGAGCGAGGGAGAGCGCACAUGCAAGCACAGGAGCACCUAGCUGAGGGAAGGGGGAAGACUGACAGUUGAACUGUGUGUGUGAUUCACUGGUAUGUACACUUAUUUUAGCUGCAGUCUCAAGAAGAAGUCAGGCAUGUAUUGCACCCGAGAAACCUGCUGCAAGUCAUAUUUUUAGCCUACUUUCCUGUAGGCUUAUGAGAUCACCUGGCAUUCUGCGUGUGUGUCCCCCACUAUCAACUUCACAACGCUUAGACCAAUAUGAACCGAAUCGGGUACAGUUGUAGGGACACCUCAACGGUGUAGUUUGUGAUGAUGUUAUCCACCCCGAUCCAAGAUGGUAGACAUAAACUUUUGAGGCGCAAGUGGACUAACUUGUGAACUGCCUAACCGAUUUGAACCAAAUUUGCAGCUGUAGGGACACAUAGGAACACCUCAACAGCGAAGAUUGUGAUGAUGUCAUCCACUUCAGUUCGAGAUGGUGGACACGUAAACUUUUGAGGAGCAAGUGCACUAACUUGUGGACAUUCUAACCGAUUUGAACCAAAUUUGCUACAGCCGAAUGGACACAUAGGGAUGCCCCAAUGAUGUAGUUUGUGAUGAUGUCACCCAACCCAAUCCAGGAUGGCAGAUGCAUAAACAUUUGAGGCACAUGCACUAACUUGAGAACUGUCUAUCUGAUUUGAAUCUAAUUUGGAACAGUUGUAGUGAAUGACACACAGGGACACCUCAAUGGUGUAGUUUGUAACAACGACAUCUACCCCGAUCCAAGAUGGUGGACACAUGAACAUUUGAGGCGCAAGAGAUCUAACUUGUGAACCUUGAUUUGCACUAAAUUUAGUCCAGAUGUAGAGACAGUAAAAGGAAAGUAGUCUGAUUAGUUCUUACUAGAACAACUUGUUAAUAUGUUUGUCUUUACUUUGAGACUGUAGAAAUGUUUUGAGUACUUCAGUGUUAGAAUUGUUAUUUUGAUAUACUGCCUUCAGCACAAUUGUUCAAUAUUUGUAUGAACAAUUACUUUACUAUAUCUCAGGAAAGCUGAGAGGAAGGAACUCUUCACCAUUAUUUUGGCUGACCAGCCUGAGGCUUUCCAGCUGUUCUUGGGCUACAACUCCCAUAACCCCUUGACCACUGAGGCUGGGGAUGAAGGGAGUUACAGUCCAACAAUUACUACAGAGCCUCAAGCUGGCCAUCCCAGGCCUAACUCAAGCCCUUGGAAACAAAAUUAUCUUCACUGGUUAAGUAAAGCAGCAUAAAGAAUUCUGAUUUCUGCAAAGAUCACACAAAAAUCUCUUAAAUAGAUGUUCACGGAGAACAACAAUAAAAUUGUUGCACAAGAGAAUUCCAAUGGGUUGUGCCCUUUCAAAACAUGCAUGUACAUUUAUUUAUGCAGUUCUGCCAGGUGCAGUUUUCACUCCAACAUAAUUAUUAAAAACCUUUCACUUUUCAAACUAAAAAAAAGUUCUCAAGAGUUCUCAAAGCAGUUGACAUAGCAAAAGUGAAAAUGAAACAAUGGUUCCCUUUCCCAAAAGGGAUCACCAUCUUAAAAAAAGAAAAAAGGCAAGGGGGUUACCAGCAAACAGCCACAUAGAAAAGAUGCUAUGUUGGUAUAAAUAAGGGCAAUUGCUGUACCACUGCUAAAUAUAUAAGAACCACCGCUUGGUGCACCGUUAACAGCCAAUAUACAUGAAACUGGUAUCCGAGAACAACUUGCACACUGUUUUGUUUAACAGGAGUUCCAGUUUCUUGAGAUUACCAUGCCAAGAGAAAUUCAACAUCAUACCUCUCUUUCUUGCAUUAACCUUUGGCCUUCUGCAGUAUAUAAGCAGUUUGUAUCUUCCAAAAAUCUUUGCUCAAAUGAGUCUUUGUAAACCUAUUUAAGAAAGGUAUUAAUGUAAGUUAAUACCUAGGCACAACAAUAUUUUAGUAGGUAAGGCUUUUUAAAAAUCUAUAUAAAUAUUUUUGUAAUGUGCAGCUUGCUUUAUCAUCCUGAUCUUAUUUAACCUCCAAACAAACAACUAGUUAGAAAUACUCCUAAUUACAGAUAAGGAACUAAUAGUGAACAAUGACACUUCAACACAUUUACACAAUAUGUUCAUUACUAAGGCUGCAAUCCUAUUACACUUCCCUUGGGAGUUACCCCAUUUAAUACAGUGGGACUUAUUUCCAGGUCAGUAUGCCUAGAAAUAUUAGGUGGACCAAGGGCAAGGGACCAUUACAUUGCCUUU